CGGAUUGCAGGCUGAAACUCGCCUGCAUGAAGUCGGAAUUGCUAGUAAUCGCGGAUCAGCAUGCCGCGGUGAAUACGUUCCCGGGCCUUGUACACACCGCCCGUCACACCAUGGGAGUCGGUAACACCCGAAGCCUGUAGUCUAACCGUGAGGAGGACGCAGUCGAAGGUGGGAUUGAUGACUGGGGUGAAGUCGUAACAAGGUACC
rnacentral:rRNA from 1 species